UCGCAAAUAACGAUUACGAUCCCGAUUCCGAUUCAGAGUCUGAAUAAUCGACGAACACAACGGCAAACACGGCACACGAGGCAAAUUACACGAUCGAUCACGAGUCCGCUGCUGCUGCCUUUGCUUUGCUUCUGCUCUGCUUUUGCUUUGGAUUCUGCCGCUGCUGCUGCUCCUAGUUUUUUCUCUGCCUAUGUUUCUAAAUCUGCUGCCAGAGGCCACCGGAACCGACGCCGGAGAGCAGCAGCACCACCAACAACAAGCUAUCCAUCCCCAAAACGCAGCGAGAAGGGAAAUGCGACAUGAAACGAGACAAAUGGCUGUAGAUAUAGAUACAUACAACCAAUGGAUCUCUCCCUCCCCCCCGUCCACUGUCUGAUGAGCAAAUGCAAUUACGGGAUACGAAAUGGGGCAAGAGCUCCCUACUACCAUCUUUGGAGUGACACAUCCCACAAAGCCAAAGGAUAACACUCAUCCCGGUGGGGGGAUACUUGUAGUGGGAUGUCUAGAGGGGUGUCCAUGCCCCACCACAACAUCCACUCUCGUGAUCCUUUUGGCGUUGUGGAAUCAACGCUCAAAUAUGAUUAAUAAGUAAUUUCUUUGUCAACAACUGGCUGGGGACUGGCGGCUGACGACAGUCACGAUAACGAGAGGAACGACAACGACGCCAUGGAAAUCUUUAAUAAAAAUACAUGCAUAAAUAAA